AACAACUUAUUUUAUCCAUAUGGAUGAUUUAAAAAAUCCAUAUCCACCCUUGUGUGAAUUCACUGAAAAGUUUACUUCGGCAGCGUUGAAUGAGAACGCUUUUUUGUGUUUGAAAUUCAUGUUGCCGAAAGUAUUUUUAAAUUUUCAUCACUCUUCUAAAAAUUUUAUAUCUUAUUUUACGAAAUUUAAAUAUUUCAAACUAAAAUUUAAUA
rnacentral:misc_RNA from 1 species